NNNNNNNNNNNNNNNNNNNNNNNNNNNNNNNNNNNNNNNNNNNNNNUAUGUCAUGUUAUGUCAUGUCAUGUCAUGUUGUGUCAUGUCGUGUUAUGUCAUGUCAUGUUGUGUCAUGUCCUGUUAUGUCAUGUCGUGCUAUGUUGUGUCAUGUCAUGUUAUGUUAUAUCAUGUCGUGGUAUGUCAUGUUGGGUUAUGUCAUGUCGUGUUAUGUCAUGUCAUGUCGUGGUAUGUCAUGGUAUGUCAUGUUAUGUUAUGUUAUGUCAUAUAUGUCAUGUUAUGUCAUGUCAUGUCAUGUUGUGUCAUGCCGUGUUAUGUCAUGUUAUGUUAUGUCAUGUUAUCUCAUGUUAUGUCGUGUCAUGUUAUGUCAUGUCAUGUUAUGUUAUGUCAUGUGAUGUCAUGUCACGUCAUGUUAUGUCAUGUCAUGUCAUGUCAUGUUUUGUCGUUAUGUCAUGUCAUGUCAUGUUGUGUUAUGUCAUGUCAUGUUAUAUCAUGUCAUGUCAUGUCAUGUCAUGUCAUGUUAUGCCAUGUCAUGUCAUGUCGUGGUAUGUCAUGGUAUGUCAUGUUAUGUUAUGUUAUGUCAUAUAUGUCAUGUCAUGUCAUGUUGUGUCAUGUCGUGUUAUGUCGUGUUAUGUUAUGUCAUGUUAUGUCAUGUUAUGUCGUGUCAUGUUAUGUCAUGUUAUGUUAUGUCAUGUGAUGUCAUGUCACGUCAUGUUAUGUCAUGUCAUGUCAUGUCAUGUUUUGUCGUUAUGUCGUGUCAUGUCAUGUUGUGUCAUGUCAUGUUGUGUCAUGUCAUGUCAUGUUAUGUCAUAUAUGUCAUGUCAUGUCGUGUCAUAUUGUGUCAUGUUAUGUUAUGUCACGUCAUGCUAUGUCAUGUUAUGUCAUGUGAUGUUAUGUCAUGUGAUGUCAUGUGAUGCUAUGUCAUGUUAUGUCAUGUCAUAUAUAUGCCAUGUGAUGUCAUGUCACGUCAUGUUAUGUCAUGUUAUGUCAUGUCAUGUCAUGUCAUAUAUAUGUCAUGUCGUGUCGUGUCAUGUCGUGUUCUGUCCUGUCCUUUCUAUCUCAUGUCAUGUCGUGUUAUCAUAUAUAUGUCAUGUCAUGCUGUGUCACGUCCGAGGCCGUUAUGGAACAGAGGGGGUGUGAAAGUGACACCACGAAGCCCCCUGGGCUGCAUUUUGGCUCACUGGAGGAACUCUGCUGGUGAGCCGGGGGGAAGAUUGAAUAAGAACCAGGAACAUCAGUGCAGUAACGGGACCGGUUUCAUAACUGGGUGCCCGAAUGACGAGACCCAGGGCUGGGCGUCUGUGGAAGCUGAAGAACUGAAUUGUUUGAUUUGCGGAUUUGGAGGGCAGUGGGAGAAACUGCCUUGAUGCUGCAUGGAAGUGCAUUUGUUAAUGGUGCACGGAAAUGUCACUGAGGGCACAGAUUGUGGAACUGGGGGGGGGGAAGGCAAAAAGGGUUAAGGGGAACAGUGAGUUUGGGAUAUUAGAGUUUGGGUCGGCACGAGAACACAGC
rnacentral:lncRNA from 1 species